CAAUACUAUCUAGCUUUGGUGUUGUUAUCAUGGAAAUUUUGUCUUCAAUGUGAAAAUGGAUAAUUUUUCUCUAUUUCCAAAAUGUGACAUGGAUUAUUAUUAAAGUUUUGUGAUUUUAAUCAAACUUAUCAGAUUUGUAAAUUAGUGACCACAACAGGCAGGUAAGAGAGAAUGUAUGGAAGCACAAAAAAUGGAUGUUAAAAUUAAAAUAAUUAUAAACUCCGCCAUUUUCCACUAUUGAUUUUUGGUCGGUUUAUGGAAGAAAGUUGUUUUGACAUUUCUGGAAGAGAGAAUCCUUAUGACAGUUUUGAACUUGAGAUCUGUAAUUUGUUGCUGAUGAUAAUUUCAUAUAUUUAAUCAAAUAUACUCAGCAAUUAUCUCUAUCUUAAACAAAUCAUUUCUGUUGUGAAUUUAGAUAUUGUAUGUAUUAAUAAUUAAAACAAACACCUCUUAGAAAUCAUUAAUUAGCAUAAAAUAUAUAUAGUUUGAUUCCAUGAGGGUUUUUUUACCACCCCAAUUUUAAUUAAACUAUACUAUCCUGUAGUAUAUGUCAUCAUAUCUAUAAAUAUACAAAUGAAACAUAUUAAAUAAUCUGUUUUUAAAUUUCUUUAAAUAAUAUAUUAAACUGUACCAAUUUUAACGCACAAGAUGCAAAUUUUCAACAACUAUAAUGUCCCUUGAAUGAUUCUCUAGGCCAAAAUAUUAAAAAUCCAAAUCCAAGUUCAGAGCUGACAUUCAUGACCAAAAAGAACCAAAUUUAUACAGCCAAACCUAGCCAAAAACACUUUUUAUUUUUCAGAGAAUUUGUUAUUUGAUAUAUAUGAUUUAAGAGUUUUUUUUAUAUUGAAGAAAAUAUUAAAUGUUCUAUUUGAUUUGAUUAGCCUAAUAAAAAAAAUUACCUAAUAAUAAUUAUAUAUACAUGAAUAGAAACAUAUUGACCAUUGAUUUGAGUUUCUCCGCUCUGAUGUUGAGUAGGAUCUGCUUGCCCUUCCAGAACUCCUGAGAUCACCACUGUUUUUAUAUAGCAUUAAAAUCAUUAGUUUUCUUGUUGUGUUUGGUUUUUUUUUUGCUUCUCUUUUUUUUUGCCAUGGCGUACGUUGUCAGCUAAUUUUCGACUUAUAAGUUUGAAUGUCCCUUUGGUAUCUAUUCCUUCUCUCUCUCCUCCUUUUCCACCUUUCAUGUUUGAAGAGGGCAAGGUUUUCAUCAUUUUCUCUUCUUGGCACAUUGUAUUUUAAUUUCAUAAUAGAUUUAAGAAAAAUUCAGAUUCCAGGGAUAUCUAGUUAUAUCAGUCUUUACGAUGAACUAUUAAAUCUACAGACCCAGAGCUCAAUUUUCAAAUUUUUUUAGUAAGAUUCUGUUGGCCUGUAGAUAUGAUUUUUACAGGCCCGAGAGCAAUUUUACUAGCCUGGGCUGCCACUCAGCGUGAAGACUAGUUAUAUUCAAAUAUCUUUUGGACAAAAUCACCACAGGGUGAGGGAGGGGGAAUAUUCAUUCAUGGCACCUCAAACUACAACAUGUGCAACACAUAACAUACAUAAGCACCCCUGCUUUUAAAAGAGUUUCUCAGAGUAGUAUUUUCAGGGUGUUUUUUUUUUUUUUAUCGCUUAUCCAGAUUGAAUAGAGGGAGAUAAUUUUGAUAAUUUGAUAAAAAAAAAAAAAAUAGAAUUAUUCACAAAAUAAAUUGAUAAAUAGGAAGGCUUUUUUCCAGUUUAUUGAUGUAUGUUAAAUGACAAAGUACAAUUUUCUGAAUUAAGUAAUAACCAUUAGUUUUAUAUUAGCUUUAACAUAAAACAUAAUUUAUGAUCUGAUAUUUUUUCCUUAUUUCUGUCAGAUUUCUCAAUUUUGACUUUCAAAGAAAUAGAAAAUAAAUCCUAAUUUAGUGGUUUUGAUAAUAGACAAACUUCUCCAUAUUUACCAUAUAAGAUGACCUUUGUGUAACUUUUGCCUCUGUUUUGGAUAUGUUUAUGGAUUUGGAAUCUGUCAUCAAAUUGAUACAUGUACCUUUAAAACUGCCUUUGUAAGGCAAUAAAUAAUAAUGAAUUGCUUUAUUAUUUAGCCUUUGUUCUGGUUUUAUUGACAACCCUCAUGAAAAAAAGGUGUCUGAAUUCUGUCUGACAAGUAUUCUUAAUUUUUCUUAAUUUUUUCUGAAUUAUGUCUGAAUGGCUAAAAUAAUGUACAUUUACGCAAAUGUCUGAAUUUUUACUGGAUUUCGGACUUUUAAGGAACAAUUCAGAAUUUUCAUAUGAACAUUCAGACAAAAAUCAGAAUAGCAUUCAGACAAAAAUCAGAAUUAUGUAAGAAUGAAUUAAGGCAAUAUUCAGAAUGAAUUCAGAAAAAUCUGAAUUUAAUCAGAAAGAUUAAGAAAUAAUCAGACACAUUCAGAAAUAUCCAGAUAACAUUCAGAAAUAUCCAGACAACAUUCAGAUGGAUUCAGACAGAUUCAGAAGAUUCAGAUAUAUAUUCAGAAAACAUUCAGAAUGUGGAUAUCCAUACAAAACUUUGUAACUUAUACAACAGAUAUUCCCCUAAAAACCUAAAAAGAAGUUCUUAAAGUUGAAUGAAAAUCAAUGUAAGCACAUUGAUGAUGGUCAAAUACCCUUAGCCUCUAUUCAAUAAUAAACAAAAUCCAAAUUUUCAGGAAGUUUGCAAAUUAAUAGUUUCAAUAACAUAAAAUUCAAACUUUAAAUUUUCAAUUUAAUUUUAUUAUCUGAUAUGGAUCUGUGAUUCCCUGGUCUGUUCUUUUCCUGUCUCUCGAGGUCUCCAUCUCUCUUGUGACCUGAAUAAAUAAAAAAACAAGCUAAUAAAAGAACAGAACUUCAAUGUCUCUUGUGUUGCAUUUUUCUUGUCUGCCCAGGGACAAUAACUAAAAUUCCACAAAUUCUUGUUUGAACUGUUAUUAAAUCACUAUGAUAUUUCUUCCCGUUUCCCUAAAUCCAACCCUUGACAUUGAUGAUGUAAGCCAUUGAUAUACAUUUUAUAAAAAUCUGGCAUGAAUUGCCACAUGACAUGUACCGGUAUGAGUGCUAUUUUUCUGUAUUUAAUUAACAUUAGAAAAACAAAACAUUCUUUGAAUGGAACUUUGCCAUUAACAAAUACACAACUUCCUAGUAUCAAGAAAAUUUUAAUUAAUUUUAAUUAUAAAUGGUCAUAUAUCUAUGCAAUUCUUCAAUCCCAUAUGCAAUACAUGUAUUUUUUUUGGGGGAACCAAUUUUUGGGACAAAUUCAGUUGACUUUUAAAAUCUUUGACCUUGACCUCAUAAUUAGUUGCUGAUUUUUUUUUUAUUUAUAGUUUAAUGUAUUAGUUUUAAUGAAUAUGCAAUUAAAGAACCUUAGUGAUUUCGCUCACAUACCCCACAUCCCCACAUUUUCAUUUGAGAAAUAAAAUAAGUGCAAGAAUAAAAAAUUACCGGUAUAUCAUAAAAAAAAAAUUGAAUUAUAAUUUCCUUAUAUGUCCUUAUUAUCUACAAAGUUUCAUGAAAUUCUGUCGUGUGGUUUCAGAGGAGUUGCAAUGACAAACUGUUGCAGUAGUACAUUGAAGCAAAUAAGUUCAAAGGGGCGUAACUCCUAUAGAAAAAAUUGAAUCACAAUUUCCGGUCAAUAUGCACAACUACAUAGUAUUUCCUUAUUAUUAUCCACAAAGUUUCAUGAAAUUCUAAAUGUGGUUUCAGAGGAGUUGCAGAAGUACAUUAAAGCAAAUAAGUUCAAAGGGGCGUAACUCCUAGAAAAAAAUUUGAAUCAUAAUUUCAUGAUGUAUGUCCUUAUUAUCUACAAAGUUUCAUGAAAUUCUGUUUGUGUGGUUUCAGAGGAGUUACGAUGACAAACUGUUGCAGUAGUACUAGUACAUUAAAGAAAAUUAGUUCAAAGGGGCAUAACUCCUAGAAAAAAAUUAAUAAUUUCCUGUUGAUAUGCACAACUGCAUUAUAUGUCCUUAUUAUCUAAAAAGGUUUUAUGAAAUUCUGUUGUGUGGUUUGAGAGAAGUUGCGAUGACAAGAAACGGGACUGAUGAACUGACAGAUGGACAGACCUGACAGACAGAUAGACUGAGACAGGUCAAAAACAUUAUACCCUCUGCAACUUCGUUAGUUGCGUGCGGUAUAAUUAAUGUAGGAAUUAAUUAUUUCAAAUAUAUGUGUCAGUGUCAUAAAUAAAUUUAAGGCUUUGCUUGUUGUUAAAUUUAAAGGCUGUAUGGUGACCAUUAGCUAUCAUUGUUCUCAUCUACAUUUGUACUGCAUUCAUAUAGUAGAUAGUUGUCUCAUUGGAAAACAUUCCACACUUACAGCUUAUUUUUAUACUAUUAAAACUAUAAAGCAUGUACAUACCAGAUUCAAUUGAUUUUGCACCAUUUUUCUUUUUAAUAGUUCUGUUCAAAAACAUGAACAUUUAGUCGGAUGUCUCUUUCACUGACAUCUGUGGAACCAAUUCUAAAAAAUUAAAUUAAAAUAUUAGUAUCAAUACUGACACCUAAAUUUAUGAACUCGUAUAAAAUAUUCAACAGUUGUCUUAAAGUGAAAUUCAAAAAGAGCCAUCAGAAAACACUUAUCAAAAUUUGAUGGGUUGUGUUUUUUUUAAGAAAGAUAUUGGAAAUAUAAUCAACUAAAAGUUUUAUCAGUGUUGAUUUAAAACAAAAAGUGUCUUUCGACCCUUUCACUUAGAACAGAACAGCCCUUACUGUGAUUUUAAAUAGAUUAAUGCACAAGUAACAUGUGCAACAACGGUAAUAUAUUAAUAAACCGAAGGUAAGAAUAUCUAAGUGAAGUACAUUGUAUUUGCCACUGGAUGUAAAGCAAAAAAGUAAAUAUUUGUAUAUUCUUAUAAAUUGAAAGGUUCCUGUGUCUCAUCUCUGACAUUCUUACCUCAAAACAAUUGGUACUUUUCCACAUUAUCAUAAACACAAUGAUGCAGAUCAUCUUUCAUCAAACUUCAAAUGGCCCAGUUCUUAAAAAAGAAGAGAAUAUUGUUUUUUAUUGGUACAUUGUAUAAAAAUUGAUUUUGUUAUAAGUCAAUUAAAACCAUACUAAAUAUUAUUUUAAACACAUGCACAUUUAACUGUUCAAUUUAAAAAAAAAAUAGUAAUGGUAGGUACAUGUAGGUAUUGAUUUAAUUAAGCCUACUUUGGUUACAUCUUCUGUCAUCAGACUCGGACUUCUCUUGAACUGAAUUUUAAUGUGCGUAUUGUUUGCGUUUACUUAGGGGGAGGGUUGAGAUCUCACAACAUGUUUAACCCCGCGCAUUUUGCGCGCCUGUCCCAAGUCAGGAGCCUCUGGCCUUUGUUAGUCUUGUAUUAUUUUAAUUUUAGUUUCUUGUGUACAAUUUGGAAAUUAGUAUGGCGUUCAUUAUCACUGAACUAGUAUAUAUUUGUUUAGGGGCCAGUUGAAGGACGCCUCCGGGUGCAGGAAUUUUCUCGCUACAUUGAAGACCUGUUGGUGACCUUCUGCUGUUGUUUUUUUUCUAUGGUCGGGUUGUUGUCUCUGACACAUUCCCCAUUUCCAUUCUCAAUUUUAUACUAUAUUCUAUGUGCCUGUACCAAGUCAGGAGCCUGUAAUUGUGUUUUGCUGUUUGUUAUAUUUGUUUUUCUUUUAAUGUUUUGCAUAGUUUGUUAAAAUAUUGUGUCAUAACACCACUUUCCUGUUUGGUGCACUCAAAUUUAGUUCAAUUCCUCCACAUUCUAUAUGUGCCUGUCCAAAGUCAGAAGCCUGUAGUUGAGAGUGGUUCAGGUUGUUGUUGUUUCGUGUACUGUCAAUUAUGUCUUGUUUUCGUUAACUGUUUUGUAAUAAAUUGGACUUUUAAAUUUUUUAAAUUGAAUCGUUUCAUAUUGUAAAUGUUCUUGUCAGGAUUGUCAAGACCAAUUAUUGCCAUAAUACAUGGUAUAGGUUUCAUAGGCGGAUCCCAGGGGCCCUAGUUUUUAGUGGCUUUGAACUAGCUGUACGUAACUUUAAGUACUCUCAGAUCAGUACUUAGUAUCUUUUUUUUUGGAUAUUCAAGUACCCCAACCACGUCUACUCUGUUUUUGCUACCGGUAGUUGUAUUUUUUUUGUAUCCAUCUGAUGAGUUUAGCAAUUUUUUAACAGAUUUCUAUAGUUCAUUCUUUUGUGUACUGUUACACAACUGUCCUAUGUUUAGGGGGAGGGGAAUUCCUGCUAUGUGUUUAACCCCACCACAUUCUGUAUGUAUGUGCCUUUCCAGAGUCAGGAGCCUUUAAUUCAGUGAUUUGAAAUGUUUUACAUUUGUCAUUUUGGGGCAUUUUAUAGUCAGUCUAUUUGGUACAGGUGUUGCUCAUUGUUGAAGGCCAUACAGUGACCUAAAGUUGUUAAUUUCUGUGUCAUUUGGUCUCUUGUGGAGAGUUGUCUCAUUGCAUAUCAUACUUAUACAGCUUAUGGCUAUUCCUGGCUGACCCAAGAAUCUGUCUCGCAUGAACUAUUGGUAUCAUACAACAAUCACUUUUCCAUUGUGGUGUCAGAUGUUUUGUAUUAUGACUUCAAAACUUUACGGGAACCUCUGUGAUGUCCACAAAUAGUGAUAAGGUGUAUAUUGGUAAUUGUAAUAAGUUCUGUAAAUUCAGAAACUAUUUCAUGCAUUUAUUGAUUAAGAUAUUGUCAUUUCAAAAUAAAGUGUGAUUUCAUAGUGGACUAUACAGUAUGGGCUUUGCUCAUUGUUGAAGGCUGUACAGUUACCUAUUAAUAUUAUUGUUAAUUUCUGUCAUUUUUGGUCUCUUUUGAAGAGUUGUUUCAUUGGCAAUCAUACCAGAUCUUCUUUUUUUUAAACUGUCAGACGUCAUAAUUAUUUCGACUAUGUUUACCCUAGUCCCCUAGUCCAAAUAAUUAUGACGUCUUGAAAGGCUAUUAUAUUUUUUUUCCUUGACAACAAAAAAAUAUAAUAGCCUUUCAAGAUGUCAUAAUUAUUUGGACUAUGUUUACUCAUAUAAUUUAUAAUUACAUGUUCAUUGUUGUUUUUAAUUUUGCAUAGUAUAAUCUGACUUAUAAUAUAAGGAAACGGCCAUUUGAUAUUCUGUCACAGGAGGAGGCACGAUUAAUUUUGGAAUAUUUAUUUUGUGAUUCCUGAUUGUUUUAUUUUUUAGUUGUCAAAAAAGAUAGUUGUAAAUAUCCUUUAUUUUGGUGUGUAAAGUAAUUUUUCAUUCUGAUACCUUUAAAGGCAAGGCUAGUCCAAAUAAUUACGACGUCUGGCAAGGCUAUUUUAUCUUUUUUCUGGGACGAUGUUAGUCCAAAUAAUAACGGUAUAACAUCUGGCAAGACUAUUUUAAUUUUUUUCUGGGACGCAGUCGUAAGAAGGUGUCCCAGAAAAAAAUUUAAAAAGCCUUGCCAGACGUCAUAAUUAUUUGGACUAGGACGAUGUCAUAGGCAGGCAUCAGGCCGGGCCAGAUGUUAUAAUUAUUUGGAUCAUCCAAAUAAUUAUAUACAUCUGGCAAGGCUAUUUUAUUUUUUUCUGUGACGCCGUCGUAGGAAGGCAUCCCCCCAAAAAAAAAAGCCUUGCCAAACGUCGUUAUUAUCUGGACGAGAACGAUGUCAUAGGAAGCCCCCCCCCCCCCCACCCCCCAAAAAAAAAAGCCUUGCCACACACAGGACAUAGGGCAUGACAAGAUUAUUCAAUUUCCAAAUCCCCUGCCCCACCCACAAUAUUAAAUGGCCGUUUCCAAAUUAAAAAAUUAUCAUUGAAAUGGACACAUAGUCAUACCCCAUAAUCGUUAUUGGCACUGCUUUUUGUAUAGCCUGUUGUCACUUGCAGUUGUUGAUAUUUGUGUUGUAUGUGCAUUUGGAUUUACACUGACAGUUUACAAGUUGUAGUCAAUUUCCUGGGCAAGUAGAAAACCAUCUUCUGAAUGGCAGACGUCAUUUUUUCCUUUAUAUCAAGCUGUUAUACAUAAAGGUUCUCGUUUAUCUUUAAAAUAUCUGUCCUGCAGCGUUCAAACGUUGUCUGCGUCACACGAUCUAGAUCUAACAUGAAAACCAACUCCGGAUCAUUUUCCGGAUUAUAGACGAUUACGUUCACCGAUUACCAUGAAAUCGCCCGCCGAGAAUAAAUAUAUCGUACAUGGAAAUUUUUACUUUAUUUCUGAAACUAAUAUAACACACGUGUUAUAGUUGUCUCAGCUGUCUUGUAUGAUUAAUUUAUGGAGGUUUUCAACCACUAUAAAUAUCCGUCUACUUAAAUUUCCAGUUAUAUCAUAUGCCCCCUUAUAUACGUUUAUAAUGUAUUUACUGGAACUAUUAUACUAACUGUUAUUGUAAUAGUCCUAGGUUUUUACCACAGACGUAUUUUUACGUAGCAAGUUCAACAAACGGACAAGAAAAAAGGGAUUUUUUAGGGCUGCAUUUGUCAUAAAAACAAUUAACCUACAAACCGACUCGCUGUGAGAAAAACGUCACGAACUUUAAAUCUGGUUGGGUAAAAAAAUCGUUAGUAUACUGUGACUGUCCCUGUGAGAACUGGUCGUAUUCUUAUAUACUCCACUUUUUAAAUUAAUAAUGACAACUUUUAACAAUGUCAUCAUAUUUUCCCCUACAGGAGCCUCAACGAUAAUUGAUUCCUGUCAAUCAAGUAAGCAGUUAACCCGAUAUCUUAAUUUCUCACCAAUCUAACCUGGUGCAGUCGACACGCUUUUGUACUUCGAUGUCAGUUAUCUAUUUCGUAAGCGAUGUCAAGUUCCAACGCUCAAGCAGCAGAUUGUAUAGUUAAUGCAAUACACAAAUCAUUUAAAAAAAAACGCCAUUGGCAUUUUUGUAACGGCGAUGUCAAGUUAGUUGAUUGCAUAAUAUCUGCAAUAAAUAUUACAUUUGUAAAACGGAAUUGACCUUUACCUAGUAGAUCAAUGAUUUUAUCUUUCAUCUACAUCUACGACACUGGAAAAAGGAACUUUGUUGGAAUUUUUAAACUUGUCAGUGAAAAAAACCCAGUGAAUAACGGGCGAUUUGAAUCUGAUGAAAACUGGUUUUUCACCCAAACUUUAACUGAUAUUUGUUGAAUUUAUUGAAAACAGAACAUUGCUGUUGAAAGCAGUGCCGAAAUUUUCUUUAAAAAAGAAAUACGACAUUGGAAUGAAAUCACUGAAACUUGGCUUAAACUUUUUUUUACAUUCCCGUAAUUUUUUCAAUAAAGAACUAUCAUUUCAUGUUCAGGGGGAGGGUUGGGAUGGAAUCAGUUACAAAAAAAGUAGAGAAAAACAGGCAGGACGAAAUUUUUUAUAAAAAGGUCAUGAUAAGAAAAUGGCAGGACUGAUGACUGAUAACAGCGAAUAUAUAAGAACGCAUGCAGGAUAGAGAUUACAACACGUGAAAUAAAAUACAGGACAACAUGUUUCACCCUAGCCUUCCGUAUCAAUCAAAUGGUAACUCCCGAAGUCGGGACGUAUGGCAAACAACAUUGCACAUUUACUCUGGCUGCAACAAAAGUGUGAGACACACAUAGAAACCAUUUACUUUUUUAAAUGUAAAAAAACCAUGCAGACAUCAGUAUUUAAUUUUUAUUAACACUCGACAACGAAUAUUCCAUAUUUUCUUUUUUCCUCUUGUCUGUAAUCGUCCGAACACAUUCUUCACCGCUAAGCUUUUCUUUUGUUGGACAGCAUCUGUUUUGAACUCGAAAGAGCAUCAACAUAAUGGGGGUCUAUAUUGGCUCUCAGGCCAUAUAUACGGUGCAGUUUUCAACGGGUAAUUAUCAAUUAGAUCAGAUCCGAAUUGUCAUGAUAAAUACGAUAAUCUGAGGACUAUGUUCUUCGUGAUAACUAAGAAAUAAAUGAAUGAAGAUGAAUGUAGUUAGUAAUACCUUAGCUAUACCUAAAACGGAUCACUUCUUAGAAUUUGGAAUAAAUCAAUGGGGUCCUAUUUCACGGAGAAACAUGUUUCUUAAAUGCAAUGAAACAGUGUUGAAGGCCUUACAUUGACCUAUAAUGGUUUACUUUUAUAAAUUGUUAUUUUGAUGGAGAGUUGUCGCAUUGUCACUCACACCACAUCUUCCUAUAUCUAUAAUUGCUGAGAACGAAAUUUCUCUUUGUCUAAUUUACAAAAUGACAUCCCUUUUGUUCAGUUAUCGUUGAUAUUUUUGCACAUUGCAAAUUUCGUUAUACACGGCAAUACAGAAAAGAUAAUUCUUACAGUUUUGUCUCUCCUAGAAGAAACCAAAAAUCGAGACAUAUGUUCAUGUAUAUGCUGUUUCCAGCAUCAGAGGGUGGCUUUGAACAUCGUAUUACAAGUUAAUUUGUGACUGAAACUUGCUUAGUUAACAUGUAUUAGUUUGAUAAGGCCUGAGUUAAAGGAUUCAACCACUAGUGUUAGUCAAUGUUAUUUGGUAUGCAUUUAAACUAGCAUUGGUGCAUCUCAUUUCCAUGAAAAAUUAUUUGAUCCUGCACCAACUGCCAUGGCCUAUUGACUUUAAAACGUUUGCUAAGUCUUCAUGUAUUAGUUUGUGAUUAGGUCACUUUAUGGGGAACCCCUAGUUGAACUAGCAUAGUACAUACAUCCUCAUUUCCAUCGAGAUUAAUUGACCCUACCCCUUCAGUCAUGGUCUGAAGAUUUUGAAACUUUUGCUUAGUUUACAACUGUAUUAGUUUGUGAUAAGGUUAAUUAAUGCAACAUAUUGUGAUAUGUAAAUGAUAUUUGGUAUGCAGUUUAACUGGCAUUGAUACAUCUCAUUUCCAUGGAGAUAAUCUGACCCUGCUCAAUCUGUCAUUGUCUAUUGAUAAUUGGUAUGCAUAUGGCAAAUUUUCAUUUUCAUGGAGAUUGUUCAGCCCAUAAUACCUUCAGUCAUGGUUCAUUGACUUUGAAUAUUUUGCAUUACUUACAUGUAAAACUUUAACUAUUUUGAUUUCAACAUUAACAUUUUAGUGUCAGCAUAACAAAAAAAAUUGGUCAUCUCUGUGUAAACAAUUUAUUAAACAUAAUUCUGACACACUUAGAAAAAUUAAGACAUUUUUCAGAAAUUCUGAAUUUGUCUGAAUCAUACUCUUACUGAUGCAUACAGAUUUUUAAUUCGUCUUACAUUCUUGGAUAUAUUUCUGACACUUUCAGAAAAAUUCAGACACUUUCAGAAGUUCUUAAUUUGUCUGAAUAAAAUUCUUAAUGAUUCAGAAAUAUUCAGCAAAAAUUCAGAAUUGUAAGCAUCAAUUCAGAAUAGAAAUAUCAGGAUUCAGAAAAAUUCAGACAUCAUUUAUCAUGUAAGAAAAUUUCAGAAAUAAUUCAGACAUUUUCAGACACAUUCAGAUAAUAUUCAGAUUUUUUUUUUCAUGAGGGAAAUUACAUGUAUUAAUAUUUUCCUGAUCUACACUUCUAUGUAAAUUGCUUGAUGAUGACAGAAGUAUUUAACAACCUUGACUGACUAACAUGGCUCGCACAGUUAGCAAUUAUUUGAUUCUCACAUGGAAGGAAUUUUUUAAUUUUUUAAUUUUUAUCUGACUAGUACUAGCUGGUCAAUAACCAACACAUGCAAGUCUAAACCAUAAUAUAUAUAGAAUCCUGCCUACACAAUUUUAACACCGUUUUAUCUAAUGAUGUCAGCAUUGAUGAAAAUUUCACACAUUUAGAUCAGUCAACUUCAGCCUCAUUCUAAAAAAUAUAUAGUUUUCAAUUUUAAGGGGAAAUAACCCUCUUUUUUUUUCAACUAUAAUAAUGCAAUCUGUAAUUUAAUUGUUUAAUGGCAUAUAAGUCAAGAAAAUGGAGAACAAUCUGUUUUAGUUUUAAUUAGUAAGGACUUUAAAGUGCUUCCUGAGUGAAUAAAGUAUAACAGUAUACUAUAUGCACCAAAAGUAUUCUGUUAUUUUAAUACAUUGUCAUAUAAUAAAUUAUCAGAGUUUGUCAGUCAUGUAAAAGAAUGAUAAUGUGACAAUUUGCAUAAAAGGAUGAUUUCUCAGAGCUUUUAGAAAUUACCAUAGAAAUGACUUGUCAUUGAUUGAAGCUAAAAUAACAUAUGGCUUGUUCGUUGUUACAUAACAAGUAAUAAAGCAAGAUAAAUAUAUACAUUGGAGGCUUUAAGUUAUUGGACUCGGCAGUCUGUAUGGAUAAUGUAAUAUCUAUGGAAAGUCAGACAUAAAACAAAUAUUAUUACGACUAUCGGGUACUGGUAACCCAUAACCAAUACUUUGUAAUAAUUUGGUCUUUUCACACUCUACAUGGUAAUUUUUAAUUGCAUUUAAUAAAGAGUGAAGAAUACUGAUAAUUUGGAAAUUUUGACAAAAGAAAACAUUAUAAAAGAAAUGAGCGACUGUUAAAGAGACAAUAACCUGACCAAUUGGGCCCCCUUUUGUGGAACCUUUUUUGUUGGUUACUAUAUAGGGAAUCACUGAAGCAUUAUGCGAGUUGGCCCCUCUUAUAGCCAGCCAGUUAUAAAAAUUUCUGAACCAGCCACUGUCUUCAAUGCAGCAAGAAAAUCCUGCUCCAUAUUUGGUCAGGUUGUUGUCUCUUUGACACAUUCCCCAUUUGCAUUCUCAGUUUUAUUAACAAUUUGUUUAAAAUGAACUAUAAUAAUGAGAGAUUGUCCAUCAUGAAAGACUAUGUGAAUUAUAGAUUUAUUUUUAAUGUAUGUGUACCCCCAAACUUCCUUAAAAUUUACCCAGUCCUAGAUCAGAGACCUCUGGAUUGAAAUGUUUUUGGACAUUUAUAGUGUGUAAACUCUUCCUUUCACUGAGGCAGUCCCAUUUGCAGAUCAAGGUGAACGUUGACUUUAUUUUGAGAGAGCCUUGAAUGAAGAUUCUAGGAGAAGUGCUAAAGUCACAUGUGCUGUUGAUGGAGGGGGGAAUGUAGAGGUGGUGCCAUCUUUAAUUCUCAGUAAAAAUAAGCGCUGAAUCCAGAGCUAGCUUAAAAAUGUGUGAACUCUCUCUGAUCCCUUAAAGAAUUAAUCAUAAGGUAACAACAACACAACAAAAAACACUUUAUUAAUUCAGAUAGAAUGUUAUCUUGUAAACAAAUUUCAUUAUGAAAAACUUAAUGAAAACAAAUUGUUACGGGCUCUGUGUUAAUUCUAAUUUGGACAAAGAGCACGGAAUAACUUGAUGUAAUUAUAGUACUCUACUGACAAUAACAACAUGAGGAAUAUUUAUAACGGCAGCUAUAUAUUGCCUUUGAACAGGGCCAGGAAGUUGGAGAAAUUAUUUCUGUUUUUGCUUUGACGAUUAUUACGACGCUGAAAUUGUAGAAAUAGUCAUAUCCUGUGGGUAAUGGAUUUCUGAAAUGUAUGACUGACGUCAAUUUCAGUUGUUAAGUAACGAUUGAUUUUCACCAAUCUUAAUGAGUUACUAUUAUAAAAAGUUGUCUUUGUAUGAUUUUAUAUUUAAAUAAUAAUUUGAAAAAAAUCAUUCAAGAAUUUGCAUCUCUUUUAUCUAAUAUUUAAUGAUCGAAAAAUGUUGCAUUCAUUUAAUUAGAAUUUAUUGACUAUGGUGUUAUAAUGAAUGGGUAGUUUGAAAGGAGGAAAAUAGCCCAAAAUUGAUAUUGAUUUUGGUACUGAGGUAAUUACAAACUACAGCUAGAAGUAGGUUUUCUUUUCAUAGAUUUUGUGAUUUUCUAGAGCAGAAGUUUGUAAGAUUAAUUCUCCUUAAAAGCUGACUUUCGAUUUCACGGUUUUAUAUUAUUAAAUAACCUUAACCUUUGAAUUGAUUAUAUACCUUGAAACUUGUUUUUCAUAUAGUAAUAAAGACUAAGAUUAAUUAAGUACAUCAGUUUUAAUGGAUUAUAUACCUUGAAACUUUUAUGGGGGGAGACUCUGUAUGUCCAUUAGCAAAUCCAGGGAUGGGCUCAGAGGUUUAUAAAAAAACAUUUUAAUCACGUAAAAAUUAUGAUCGAUCAGAUCCUUUGUAACUUUUACCAGAUUUGUCUGACCAUAUGAUUUAUUUAGAAUGAUGGAGGCUGCUAUGUUUGACGGAACUUAAAUUUAUGUGUGAAAUUAUAUCAAUGCUGACAUCAAUAUAAGGAUUAAAACAGUGUGAAAAUUGCGUAAUAAGAAUUUUAUUAUAAACUAACCAUGCAGUACUUCUGGCUGGUUAUAUAACCAGUUAAGUACUGCAUGGUUAGUUGAAAUUUAAAAAAAUAAAAACUAUAUAAGAGACUUUAGAAAAUAUUUUUCUUUGAUUGGUGAAUUAAGCAAUAUUAUAUAUAUUUACAACCAAAAAUACAUAUAUACUCGUUACAGGAGGGAUUAAUUUUCAAAGAACUGUUGCAAUUGUGCUUGAAUUAUUUACUAAAUUAGUGAAAUAUUCCUGUAAAAGUAUUGCUUUGAGCUUUCUCUAAAUACUUAAGUAUAAUCAUAGAUACCAUAUGGAAUCUUUAGGCUUGAAUUUUAGAGGUUUGUAUUUUUUCUACAUCAUCUAAUUUAGUCAAAAAUGGAGCUUUUAUGUACUUUCAAAAAUAGUUUAUUAUCAACAGAGACUAAUUGUAGACCUGUGACUUUUGUUGUAUUCUUUUAAAAGGGACUUAGAAAUAAGGUGUCAACACCAAAUUUACUUCAAAUGACGUACAUGCUUUCAAUCCAAGUUCAGUGAUCUAUAUUUUGAUUACAUAGAUUUGAUAUGUGUGAAAAUAUUAUCUGUUUAUCGUGAUUAGGUCUAAAACAGGUGUGAACAAAAAUUUAAAGUCAGUGAGCAGCUAACUCGAAUAAUUCAAGCCCUGUUUUUCGUGUUUGAUUUUCUCCCACACGAGGAAAUGCUCAUAGAUCAGCGGAAUAUAACGACUGAAUUAUUCGGGUUAGUGAGCAGCUUGUGGAUUAGGAGACAACAAUCUGUAUGUUGUACUCAGGAAAAGACCUCUGUUCAAAUCACACACUGUCUUUUAAAAACAACUCUGAUAAGAGUCCAAAGAGGCAUCUGUUGAGGUGUAAUAUACGCAUUUGUCGUUAACUUCAGGAGAAAUACACUUAAGCUCUGCUGUGGUUAUGGGGAAAGGGCAUUCAAUCAUUGACAGUGACAUAUGACAGCAAACUCCAUUUAGCCAUGUGAAUCAUUUAUUUUGAAAUGCAGCUACUCUAAACCUACUAACUCUUAUAAUAAUUUUGGACAUUGUUUUGAAGAUACAGUUGGUUUAUUGACUCAUAUAUUUCUGCCUUUCAAGAAGAGAGGGGGGGCGGGGGUUUGACAAACAAUAAAACGUGGUUUAAAAUAGACGGUAUAUACUACAGACUGUCAUAAUACUUUCAGGACUAUAUAAUAGCCAAUUACAAUUUGCUUCUAAUGUUUUUUUUUUUUAAAUGAUAAUGUUAUAGCAGCAUUUGGUUACUGUGAUUCUUAAAUUAAUAUUGUGGAUUCCAAUAUUCUUGGAUUGAGGGGAAAAAUUGGCUUUUUAUAAUGCUUGAUUUUGUGGUUUAGCGAAAUUAUGUAUAAAUUUUCACUGAGUUAGUACAUGUGAUUAUUUAGGGGUCAACUGAAGCCAGACUUGGUUGUGGGAUUUGAGUAUUCAUUCUGUUGAAGACCCAGUGGUGGCUUAAGCUGUUUUUUGCUCUUUGGUCCGGUUGUAAUCUCUUGGUAUGGACAUAUUCCCCCAUUUACAUUACCACUUUCAGUUUUAUUUUAUACACCUAUUAUAGGUAAUUUUUAUUUCUUCAAUCGCUUGAAUUACAAUGAUAGCUCACUUAUACCCACAAAAUUCCAUAUAUAGACAAUUAUAGUGCAUUGACUCGACAUAUCAACGAUAUAAGGAUGAGGCUUAGAAACGGGGAAAUGCGAGGCUGUGCCGAGCUAUUUCCCCGUUUCGGGCCGAAUCCUUAUAUCAAGUCAAUGCACUAUUAUUGUCUUUAUACUGCAAUCUAAAAAAACAUUUUCAAUUGUUGUUUAAUGCGUUAAGGUUAUUUGUUUGAUUUAAAUAUUUGGGGAAAUCCCCUUUAAAAAGACCUCAUAUGCUCACGGAGAAAUUUUCAACACAAUGAAAUGUACAUUUACCUGUUGAAACCCACACUCGAUGGUGAACGAAAUCAUUUGAGUAUGGACUAAAAUAUCAACCAUAAGCAUAACAAGUUAAUGAUUUAUAGGUUGUAAACAAAAAGUAUUAAUAAAUGAAAUAUGUUUUUCCAUUAAUUGCAAAAGAAACAAGGUUGAGUCGUUCCACGCAUCGUUGUAUGCAUUGGAAACAAAAACAGGUUGAAGAGGUCGUAUGAAUAAUUAAAUGUUAUUUCGGCAACUUCUAUUUAAAUAUUCAUGAGGAAAAGUGAUAUCGGGUCAGUGACUGUAUAUGACAAAGAAAUAUACAGUCAACGCAUUUUGACUGCUCAAAUAGAACGAGUGCAGUAUAAAAAUAAGUAACAAAUCUGUAACAAAUAAAAUCAGAGUAAUUAUUUUUAUUUAAUUUAUUUUUUCAGAGGUUUCCAAGAUGCCUAUGAUGGAUUCAAUUUAUCGGUAUCGUCGUGAUGUGGGUGAAUCCACAUCGCCGUCUGCUGGCAAUGGUAGUGGAGGAUCUGGUACCAUGGCAAACGAUGUGGCUGCUUCCACAGCCAAACCAUCAGCUAUGGAUAAUCUAAAGAAUAAAAUUAUGGAUGAGAUUAACUCUUGUAAGUAUAAGAAUUGAAUGUUAAAUUGGAAGAUAGCUUUCUUAAAUUCUCUUUUAAUGAAUUAAGAAACAUUUAGAAUCUAAGGUUCCAACUACUGCCAUAUGUACUUUGUCAUCACAAAUGAGUUAAUGUGGUUUUAUGAGUCUUUGUACAUUCAGAUCCUUCACAGUACACAGUACACUACAAUCUGACCAAUGGUUGUCCAUAAGAUCCUUUAUAAAACCCCUUGGUUUGUCACAGCG
rnacentral:lncRNA from 1 species